UACAGAGGUCUCAAGCGUUGUUCGGAUUCAUUGGGCGUAAAGGGUGCGUAAGGCGGCGCGGUAAGUCGGGUGUGAAAUUUCGAGGCUUAACUUCGAAACUGCAUUCGAUACUGCCGUGCUUGAGGAACUGGAGAGGAGACUGGAACUUUACGGUGGUAGCGGUGAAAUGCGUAGAUAAUCGUAAGGAAGACCAGUGGCGA
rnacentral:rRNA from 1 species